AAGGUAAAAUGUGUAGGUACAUUGCAUUAUUUAUGGAUCACAGUGUCAGCUUGUUGUGAUUGUGACCUUUAUCAGAUGCUAAUCUGGGAAUUUGCUUAGUGUUUGUUAAACAUUUUCAUUCCUUGACAUUUUUUAUGCAUUAUAAAAAAAAAGGCAAAUCCCAGUAAGUCUGUCCUCCAAGAAGAGCUGAGCUGGCCCCGUAUAAUGCAAAGUUAAAGGUGUCAAAAUGGUUUGCUCUCCUUAAAUAUUCAAUAAUCUCCUGAUUGUAAAACAUGCCUAAUUAUACUUACAUUUAAUUAGAAUGGAAAACUCUUAGUGUCUAUUACAAAGCUGCUCUUAGUGCCUAGUGCAAAGUCUUAUUAUAAAAUCAGUUAUCAAGAAGAGUCUCUAAUAUCCAAAACAGUACCUGUGAUGCCAAUCAUAAUGAGAUAUAUUGUUACUUUUAUAGAAAAGGAAAAAAAACUCCAUUGCUAUGAUAACUAAUGGUCUAUUAUUUUCAAUUGGUACACAGCUAUAUAUAAUAAAUCACUUCAUUAUUUGGAGGGCAGAUAUGAGAGUUGGUUAACCAUGCAUCUGAAGGUGACAUUGUAGGAUGUGUGGAUCCUAAAACUACAAAAUGUAAAAUGAAGAAUUUUGCCCAUUGAAAAUGUUCUUUCUUUUCCGAGUCAUAUUCGAAGCAGACAUAC